UUAUCGGCUAAUUUUGACGUCUCGAGUGACCAACGAAACAUCGAUGUCAACCGAACUUUGAUGUCAACUGAAAUUUUGUAUCCAUCGGUAUUGCGUAUGACAUUGUAGCUAUAACCCGCACGAGUGCCUAUCAGCGGACCACUUGACACCUCUACUUUUUAUCGACAUUAUGCGACUAAGUUAUACACACCUAUGGCACGUAAAACUAAUUGGAUGAAUUGGCCAUCUUCGUUUAGCGGAUUAAUUACGCGUUAAAAACUGGAUAAUAACUUUGUGGACUGGGAACCAUAAUAUUAUUAUUAACUUUCAAUUGUGUAGUUUGUUAUAAAUACGAUAAGUGUUGGUGCUCGUGUGGUUAAAUUCUUUUUAAGUUACGAUUUAUUUACACUCGAGAUGUUUGAUGGAAGAAAAAACUCCCAAGGACAGAGUUGCUACUUGUUUCUAGAAUUUGUGGAGGCCCAAAGCUUUGGAUCGCUUUUCAAUGGGCCACCAAUCUAGUCAAUAUACUAGACAAACUUGGGAAUCAUUCGCUGUUAAGUUUAAUCGAGUAGAAGAUGACGUCUUAAGAACCACAGGCCAAUGAGAGUGUCGAGUUGAAGGAGAAGCCUCGAUUUGAGCCUGUCUCGAUAUUGAGGAGUAAAUGGCUGCCUUGAAAAGGAUUGCUGUGGACCGAUGGUCAUGGAAAGAGCUAGUGCCCUAAUAAUAUAAUUGAUAACAACAGUACACCUCAAAAAAAUUAAUAGAUUAUAGAUAGUGGUUCUAUAUAUUAGCUUAGUUGUAUACAGCAUUAUAAUUAUGCUCUAAUGUGAAUUGUAAUUUUUUACAUUACCUAAUAAUGAUAAUACAAUAUGUA